rnacentral:rRNA from 1 species
UGAGGAAUAUUGGUCAAUGGGCGAGAGCCUGAACCAGCCAAGUAGCGUGAAGGAUGAAGGUCCUAUGGAUUGUAAACUUCUUUUAUAGUAGAAUAAAGUGAUCCACGUGUGGGUUUUUGUAUGUAUACUAUGAAUAAGGAUCGGCUAACUCCGUGCCAGCAGCCGCGGUAAUACGGAGGAUCCGAGCGUUAUCCGGAUUUAUUGGGUUUAAAGGGUGCGUAGGCGGAAUAAUAAGUCAGUUGUGAAAGUUUGCGGCUCAACCGUAAAAUUGCAGUUGAUACUGUUAUUCUUGAGUGUACAUAAGGUAGGCGGAAUUCGUGGUGUAGCGGUGAAAUGCUUAGAUAUCACGAAGAACUCCAAUUGCGAAGGCAGCUUACCGGGGUACAACUGACGCUGAGGCACGAAAGUGUGGGUAUCAAACAGGAUU